rnacentral:rRNA from 2 species
CCCUGGCUCAGAUUGAACGCUGGCGGCAGGCCUAACACAUGCAAGUCGAGCGGCAGCACGGGUACUUGUACCUGGUGGCGAGCGGCGGACGGGUGAGUAAUGCCUAGGAAUCUGCCUGGUAGUGGGGGAUAACGCUCGGAAACGGACGCUAAUACCGCAUACGUCCUACGGGAGAAAGCAGGGGACCUUCGGGCCUUGCGCUAUCAGAUGAGCCUAGGUCGGAUUAGCUAGUUGGUGAGGUAAUGGCUCACCAAGGCGACGAUCCGUAACUGGUCUGAGAGGAUGAUCAGUCACACUGGAACUGAGACACGGUCCAGACUCCUACGGGAGGCAGCAGUGGGGAAUAUUGGACAAUGGGCGAAAGCCUGAUCCAGCCAUGCCGCGUGUGUGAAGAAGGUCUUCGGAUUGUAAAGCACUUUAAGUUGGGAGGAAGGGCAGUUACCUAAUACGUAUCUGUUUUGACGUUACCGACAGAAUAAGCACCGGCUAACU